CAGCCGCCGCGGUAAUACGAAGGGGGCUAGCGUUGCUCGGAAUCACUGGGCGUAAAGGGUGCGUAGGCGGGUCUUUAAGUCAGGGGUGGAAUCCUGGAGCUCAACUCCAGAACUGCCUUUGAUACUGAAGAUCUUGAGUUCGGGAGAGGUGAGUGGAACUGCGAGUGUAGAGGUGAAAUUCGUAGAUAUUCGCAAGAACACCAGUGGCGAAGGCGGCUCACUGGCCCGAUACUGACGCUGAGGCACGAAAGCGUGGGGAGCAAACAGGAUUAGAUACCCGCGUAGUCCCUGUCUCUUAUAU
rnacentral:rRNA from 1 species